rnacentral:rRNA from 1 species
GACGAACGCUGGCGGCGUGCUUAACACAUGCAAGUCGAGCGGUAAGGCCCUUUCGGGGGUACGACGAGCGGCGAACGGGUGAGUAACACGUGGGUGACCUGCCCUCAGCUCUGGGAUAAGCCUGGGAAACUGGGUCUAAUACUGGAUAUGACUCCACGGUGCAUGUCGUGGGGUGGAAAGCCUUGUGCGGCUGAGGAUGGGCCCGCGGCCUAUCAGCUUGUUGGUGGGGUGANGGCCUACCAAGGCGACGACGGGUAGCCGGCCUGAGAGGGCGACCGGCCACACUGGGACUGAGACACGGCCCAGACUCCUACGGGAGGCAGCAGUGGGGAAUCUUGCGCAAUGGGCGAAAGCCUGACGCAGCGACGCCGCGUGAGGGAUGACGGCCUCGGUUGUAACGUACUUCUACG